rnacentral:piRNA from 1 species
UGUGGUCCUUGUCCCAUUUGUUGGGGCUGC